CUUAGUCAGUGAAUGGCUUUUAUAGAUUAAAUAUGUGUAUGUACUGUAUUAACAAGAUUCUAUGUACCAAAUAUUGAAUUCUUAAUCAGCUGCUUUCGAGGUGUACAGAGAUACUAGGAAAUCCAGCACGAGAAAACAUGUCUGGAAAACCCAAGCUGCACUACUUCAAUGGACGAGGCCGGAUGGAACCAAUUCGGUGGCUACUGGCAGCAGCUGGGGUUGAGUUUGAAGAAUCUUUCAUA